GUGCUCGCUUCAGCAAUACAUAUAAUAAAAUUGGAAUGAUACAGAGAAGGUUAGCAUGGCUUCUGUGCAAGGAUGACACAAAUUCAUGAAACAUUCCAUUUAAAA